rnacentral:misc_RNA from 1 species
GUUUUUUCAUCCCUUUUGGUGGUUGUUGGGUUGUGAUUACAUGUAUGGAUUCAGAUGCAAACGAUUUGAAUUCAAGAAAUAGGUUGCGUUGGGGCGAUAAUCACAAAGUUUAUACCCGGAAGCGCCGUAGAACCCUAGAGAAUACUAGUACUGACGUUGCUCCGGCCGCCACAGCCGCUGUUAGCUCAGCCGCAGCUGCACCGGAGGUUAUUUCGAAUAGCGGGAGGGAUACGAACGAGAAUGAUGAGGUGCCGGAGCCGUCUUUGCAAACCCAAUUUCGGGAUUGUUCGAUUGUUAAAGGUGUGAUAGGGGGUGAGCAAGUAGCUCUGAGUAAUGGUGGGGAAGUGCGGGAAUUGACGGAAGAUUCAUGCGGUAGAGAUGAACCUAGAGAUGGUGGUGCUGGACUACUGGUGGAGCAUAAAGCUGGGGAAUCGGCUGACGGUUCAUUUGGUAGAGAUGUCCCUGAAGUUGGCCGUGGCAUUGACACUGGUGCAGCGGCGGCGUCUAGUGGUGGAGAAGUUCCAGAAGGCAGCAGCGGAAGUCAGCCAGCAAUGCAGAAUCAUAGAGAUGAACCACAAAGUGACAAUCUUGAAAUGGAGAAUGGGUAUGGUAAGCCGGUUAUUUCAAGAAUUCAAGAUAGAAUUAGGAUUAAUUUAACUGGAGUGAGGUCCAGUGAUGAGAUUAGAGAGCUCGGUAUGAGCUUAGAGAGUGAGCUUGAUCAAGUUAGGGGCUUGGUAAAGCAGCUUGAAGCUAAACAGCUUCAGCUGACAACAUAUAGGACUAGUAUAAAUGGUGGUAAUAUUAAUGCUGGUAGUGUUACUACUUUCCCUGGUAGUAUUAAUGCUGGUAGUAUUACUACUGUCCCUG